AUGGCACGGAGAAGAGCGGCGGGGCGAAAGCAGGGAGCCGACACCCCCGGCUCGGAGGGGGCUGCAGGAGGGCACCCGCCUGUCUCCGGCCCCCGGUGUCGUCCCCGGCCCCGGGAGGAGGAGGAGGAGGAGGAGGAGGAGGAGGAAGAGGAGGAGGAGGAGGGGGACAUUUUCGCAAGCCCCCGGCACUCACCCUGGCGAGGUGUUGACACGGCGCAGGAAAACCGACGGGAGCGGCGUUCGCCGGAGAGUUGGCGAGGCAUGGAGAGGCGGCCUCGGAAGGGGGGGGACACCCCAAAUUUCCCCCCUCCCCCCCCGCACUCCCCAGCACGGGGGCUGCAGCUCCAGCGGCACCGCGACCCCGCAGCUCGCACACGGGAAAAGAGCACGGAGAGAGGCGGGGGGCCGGGAAAAAUUAAAAAAAGAAAAAAAAAGGAAAAAAAAAAAAAAAAAAAAAAAAAAGUAGGAAAUAAUAAAAAAAUAAAUAGAAGGGAAAACGAGAAGAGAGGAGGUUGGGGACUCCGCUUUUGGGCUGGGGAGAGGUUUCUCUGUGGGCAGCCGCCGGGCCUGACCUCUCCCCCUUUUCCUCUCCCCAGUUUUUUCUCCCCUCUCCGCUCCUCUCCCCGUCCAUCCUGGGCCCCCCCGGCGGGCACCCCUCUUCCACCUCCCCUUCCUCCGGGUCUCCCCGGCCUCGGGGGCGAAACCAGCUCCGCGGGGAGGGACGGGGGACAGGGGACAGGGGACGGGGAGGUCCCGCACCCCGCACCCCGCUCCCCGCACCCCAUCCGCCCCCGUGCGCCCCGACGGCCCCCGGGAGGCCGCGGGGGCUUCGCUCCCGGCCGCCCCCCGCGCACCUCGCCCCGUGCAGCCGCUGCCGGUGUCGGUGUCGCUGCCGGUGGUGGUGGCGGUGGUGGUGGCGGUGGCGAUGUCCCUGCGGCCGCCCCCCGCCCCCGCCGGCCCCUCCUGGCCGCCCGGCUGCGAGCCGAUGGGAGGGCCGAGCGGCAAUUCAUCUUGAUUUGCCUUCAUUGUCCGGAGCUGGCGAACUAUAAUCCUGUAUAA
rnacentral:lncRNA from 1 species